UAUUCUUGACUACAAAUACGCUAAGGGCGUAUAACGUGUUUGUAGUUUAGGAUCAAUUUUCAUAAAACACAAUAAAACAACGCUAUAAACUAUUUAUGACGAAAAACUUACCUUAAUUCUAGUUAGUCCACCAUAACGGUAUAUUAGUCAAGUAUUCAAUACUGCGAUUUUCUCAAAACAAUUCAUUAAAAAAGCGUUAUUUACUUCUAACAUGUAAUUUGUUCAAAAAAAUAUUAGUCAUUCUUAACUUAGUACCCGCUAACCCACGCUGCCUAACUAGAAACACGUUUUUCGUUGCUCGCGCUUCGUUCAUUCCGGGAGUGUGCGGGGAUACGAUAUGCGCGCGGGGAGCCUUGCCAUUCCGUUCGGAGCGCUCAUAAGGUGUGAGCGUGCGUCGUCGUAACGUGUACCCGCCAAAACUCAAAUAUGUCGGGGAGCAUUACGAGACGACACGGUGUGUCUCAAAGAAUUCAAAGUAUGAUAGAUCUAGCCAAUCAUGCAAACGAGCAGACGAACAAUAAAACCAGCACCCUAAAAAAGAAAAAUUGCAGUGAACACACCUUUGUUGAUAGUCUCUACAGCAUAAACCAGGAUUAUUCUAUGACAUCCGAAGUUUUCCAAAAUUUCUGCGAAACGCAAAUUACAGGUACCUCGCAUCAUUUUCAUAACAUAAGUAA